rnacentral:rRNA from 1 species
CCUACGGGAGGCAGCAGUGAGGAAUUUUGGGCAAUGGGCGAAAGCCUGACCCAGCGAUACCACGUGAGCGAUGAAGGCCUUCGGGUUGUAAAGCUCUGUCGAGCAGGAAGAUGAUGUUAUUUCCUAACAGGGAAUAGCAUUGACUGUACUGCUAAAGGAAGCAUCGGCCAACUACGUGCCAGCAGCCGCGGUAAAACGUAGGAUGCGAGCGUUGUCCGGAAGUAUUGGGCGUAAAGGGCGUGUAGGCGGUUUAGUAAGUUCAGUGUGAAAUCCCUUAACUUAAAUAAGGAAAUGCACUGAAUACUGCUAAGCUAGAGUAUGGGAGAGGGAGGUGGAAUUCCCGGUGUAGAGUUGAAAUUCGUAGAUAUCGGGAAGAACAUCCUUGGCGAAGGCGACCUCCUGGAACAAUACUGACGCUGAGGCGCGAAAGCGUGGGGAGCAAACAGGAUUAGAUACCUUUGUAGU